AUACGUAGGGUGCGAGCGUUGUCCGGAAUUACUGGGCGUAAAGAGCUCGUAGGUGGUUUGUCGCGUCGUCUGUGAAAUUCCGGGGCUUAACUCCGGGCGUGCAGGCGAUACGGGCAUAACUUGAGUACUGUAGGGGAGACUGGAAUUCCUGGUGUAGCGGUGAAAUGCGCAGAUAUCAGGAGGAACACCGGUGGCGAAGGCGAGUCCCUGGGCAGUAACUGACGCUGAGGAGCAAAAGCGGGGGUAGCGAACAGGAUUAGAUACCCUGGUAGUCCAAGCCGUAAACGGUGGGCGCUAGGUGUAGGGGUCUUCCACGACUUCUGUGCCGUAGCUAACGCAUUAAGCGCCCCGCCUGGGGAGUACGGCCGCAAGGCUAAAACUCAAAGGAAUUGACGGGG
rnacentral:rRNA from 1 species